AUCCCAGAUUCAACGGCCGCGGUAUUUUGACCGUGCUAAGGUAGCGUAAUCACUUGUCUUUUAAAUGAAGACCCGUAUGAAUGGCUUAACGAGGGCUUAGCUGUCUCCUCUUUCCAGUCAAUGAAACUGAUCCCCCCGUGCAGAAGCGGGGAUAAAAACAUAAGACGAGAAGACCCUAUGGAGCUUUAGACACCAGAGCAGACUACUUUCAACAACCCUAAACAAGUACCAAACAUACUAGCUGCCUGCUCCUGUCUUAGGUUGGGGCGACCUUGGGGCAAUAAAAAACCCCCAUGUGGACGGGAGACCUACAAACCACACCCUCCCCAAAGACCCGAAGUACAACUCUAAUCAACAGAACCUCUGACCAAAACUGACCCGGCCUUUGAGCCGAUUAACGAAACAAGUUACCCUAGGGAUAACAGCGCUAUCCCCUUUUAAAGUCCAUAUAGACAAGGGGGCUUACGACCUCGAUGUUGGAUCAGGACAUCCUAAUGGUGCAGCCGCUAUUAAGGGUUCGUUUGUUCAACGAUUAAAGUCCUACGUGAUCUGAGUUUCAGACC
rnacentral:rRNA from 1 species